rnacentral:rRNA from 1 species
AAACGUAGGUGGCAAGCGUUGUCCGGAAUUACUGGGUGUAAAGGGAGCGCAGGCGGAAGAAUAAGUUGGAUGUUUAAUCUACGGGCUCAACCCGUAUCAGCAUUCAAAACUGUUUUUCUUGAGUGGUGCAGAGGUAGGCGGAAUUCCCGGUGUAGCGGUGGAAUGCGUAGAUAUCGGGAGGAACACCAGUGGCGAAGGCGGCCUACUGGGCACUAACUGACGCUGAGGCUCGAAAGCAUGGGUAGCAAACAGGAUUAGAUACCCUGGUAGUCCAUGCCGUAAACGAUGAUUACUAGGUGUGGGAGGAUUGACCCCUUCCGUGCCGCAGUUAACACAAUAAGUAAUCCACCUGGGGAGUACGACCGCAAGGUUGAA